CCUACGGGUGACAGCAGUGAGGAAUAUUGGUCAAUGGGCGCGAGCCUGAACCAGCCAAGUAGCGUGAAGGAUGACGGCCCUACGGGUUGUAAACUUCUUUUAUAAAGGAAUAAAGUGAGGCACGUGGGCCUUUUUGUAUGGACGUUAUGAAUAAGGAUAGGCUAACACCGUGCCAGCAGCCGCGGUAAUACGGAGGAUCAGAGCGUUAUCCGGAUUUAUUGGGGUUAAAGGGAGCGUAGAUGGGUUGUUAAGUCAGUUGUGAAAGUUUGCGGCUCAACCGUAAAAUUGCACUUGAUACUGGCAGUCUUGAGUACAGUUGAGGUAGGCGGAAUUCGUGGUGUAGCGGUG
rnacentral:rRNA from 1 species